GAUGAACGCUGGCGGCGUGCCUAAUACAUGCAAGUCGAGCGAACAGACGAGGAGCUUGCUCCUCUGACGUUAGCGGCGGACGGGUGAGUAACACGUGGAUAACCUACCUAUAAGACUGGGAUAACUUCGGGAAACCGGAGCUAAUACCGGAUAAUAUAUUGAACCGCAUGGUUCAAUAGCGAAAGACGGUUUUGCUGUCACUUAUAGAUGGAUCCGCGCCGCAUUAGCUAGUUGGUAAGGUAACGGCUUACCAAGGCAACGAUGCGUAGCCGACCUGAGAGGGUGAUCGGCCACACUGGAACUGGGACACGGUCCAGACUCCUACGGGAGGCAGCAGUAGGGAAUCUUCCGCAAUGGGCGAAAGCCUGACGGAGCAACGCCGCGUGAGUGAUGAAGGUCUUCGGAUCGUAAAACUCUGUUAUUAGGGAAGAACAAAUGUGUAAGUAACUAUGCACGUCUUGACGGUACCUAAUCAGAAAGCCACGGCUAACUACGUG
rnacentral:rRNA from 1 species